UACAGGGGGUGCAAACGUUGCUCGGAAUCAUUGGGCGUAAAGCGCACGUAGGCGGUUUGUUAUGUCGGAUGUGAAAGCCCUUGGCUCAACUGAGGAAGUGCAUCCGAAACUGGCAAGCUAGAGUACUAAAGAGGAUCGCGGAAUUCCCGGUGUAGAGGUGGAAUGCGUAGAGAUCUCCAAGAACACCCGUUGCGAAGGCGGCCGACUGGACCCAUAUUGACGCUGAGGCUCGAAAGCAUGGGGAGCAAACAGG
rnacentral:rRNA from 1 species